rnacentral:rRNA from 1 species
GGUAAACGCUGGCGGCGUGCCUAAUACAUGCAAGUCGAGCGAACGGACGAGAAGCUUGCUUCUCUGAUGUUAGCGGCGGACGGGUGAGUAACACGUGGAUAACCUACCUAUAAGACUGGGAUAACUUCGGGAAACCGGAGCUAAUACCGGAUAAUAUUUUGAACCGCAUGGUUCAAAAGUGAAAGACGGUCUUGCUGUCACUUAUAGAUGGAUCCGCGCUGCAUUAGCUAGUUGGUAAGGUAACGGCUUACCAAGGCAACGAUGCAUAGCCGACCUGAGAGGGUGAUCGGCCACACUGGAACUGAGACACGGUCCAGACUCCUACGGGAGGCAGCAGUAGGGAAUCUUCCGCAAUGGGCGAAAGCCUGACGGAGCAACGCCGCGUGAGUGAUGAAGGUCUUCGGAUCGUAAAACUCUGUUAUUAGGGAAGAACAUAUGUGUAAGUAACUGUGCACAUCUUGACGGUACCUAAUCAGAAAGCCACGGCUAACUACGUGCCAGCAGCCGCGGUAAUACGUAGGUGGCAAGCGUUAUCCGGAAAUUAUUGGGCGUAAAGCGCGCGUAGGCGGUUUUUUAAGUCUGAUGUGAAAGCCCACGGCUCAACCGUGGAGGGUCAUUGGAAACUGGAAAACUUGAGUGCAGAAGAGGAAAGUGGAAUUCCAUGUGUAGCGGUGAAAUGCGCAGAGAUAUGGAGGAACACCAGUGGCGAAGGCGACUUUCUGGUCUGUAACUGACGCUGAUGUGCGAAAGCGUGGGGAUCAAACAGGAUUAGAUACCCUGGUAGUCCACGCCGUAAACGAUGAGUGCUAAGUGUUAGGGGGUUUCCGCCCCUUAGUGCUGCAGCUAACGCAUUAAGCACUCCGCCUGGGGAGUACGACCGCAAGGUUGAAACUCAAAGGAAUUGACGGGGACCCGCACAAGCGGUGGAGCAUGUGGUUUAAUUCGAAGCAACGCGAAGAACCUUACCAAAUCUUGACAUCCUUUGACAACUCUAGAGAUAGAGCCUUCCCCUUCGGGGGACAAAGUGACAGGUGGUGCAUGGUUGUCGUCAGCUCGUGUCGUGAGAUGUUGGGUUAAGUCCCGCAACGAGCGCAACCCUUAAGCUUAGUUGCCAUCAUUAAGUUGGGCACUCUAAGUUGACUGCCGGUGACAAACAGGAGGAAGGUGGGGAUGACGUCAAAUCAUCAUGCCCCUUAUGAUUUGGGCUACACACGUGCUACAAUGGACAAUACAAAGGGCAGCGAAACCGCGAGGUCAAGCAAAUCCCAUAAAGUUGUUCUCAGUUCGGAUUGUAGUCUGCAACUCGACUACAUGAAGCUGGAAUCGCUAGUAAUCGUAGAUCAGCAUGCUACGGUGAAUACGUUCCCGGGUCU